GCUGCUCAAAAUUUGCACACCUCUCCGUGGUGAGCAGCAGGCAACGGUCUUAUGACUGGCUGAGAUGUGAAG
rnacentral:ribozyme from 1 species